GGGUGUUAAAAUCACAGCCAGCAGUUUUUUCUGGCGGCGGAGCUCCUCUUCGUAUCCAGACUCUGUUCUAUUUUCGACCAGGUCCGUCAUUACCGCAGCCAGAAGCCGCCGAUUAAAUAAAUCAUCGAGAUCCUGAAACCCGGACAUUUUCCACAAACGCAAGAGCGGAAGCAGAACUUUGUGGUUACCGCGGUACCACGUGGACGACUUCUUCCUCUUCUUUUCCUUUAUGAGCGUUUUCUGGUGUGGAAACUGAGCUGAAUCCGGUUAGGAGCGAAAAUUUAAACCUCGGUAUCGGAUCACCAGGUUUGAAAAAGUCUCGGUUUAUUUGGCUCCGAUCUUUUGAUUGAAGAAUCUGGAUUUGGUCGAUUAUGGAGGUCGAGCAGUAAUGUGUUCUAUAUCUUCUUCCUCUUGGUUAACGGCGGAUGGCAACUAGUAGUACUGCUUCUUCUUCUUCUUCUUCUUGGAUUCGUUUGGCGGCUGGCAUCCAACAAUGUAGCGCAUUGCCGCCACCUACUGGACUGGAGUGUGGAACAAUAGAUAAUAAUAAUAAUAAAUAACUAACCUGUAUUCCCUGAUUUCUUCUUUACUUUACCCUGAAUACCAAAGUCCACUGUUGGCUCCUUAAAUACCCACGGAGGGAUUUCUGGUAAAGAAUUACUUGACACAUAUUGCAUGUUGCAUAAACCAACACUUUCGGCUUUUACAUUCCCAACCCAGCCCAAACUCCAAAAGUUGGUUUUGCCAUGCUCUGAGCAUUCCUCUAAUAUUGCUUUUGCUGGAUGCGACCUUUUGUGUCCCUGCAGAUAUACCCAGUAUGCCAGCAUGUGCUUUACCCUUCUUAUCCUUAGAGGCUCUUCCCCUACCUCAACUUGAAGAGCAGCCACUGGAGAGGUCUUAAACGCCCCAUUGCAUAUCCUCAGCCCCUUAGCCUGCUCCACGUCCAGCUUCUUCAGGUGACUCUCUGCUGCUGACAUAUAAGCCACACUGCCAUAAUCAAUUCUGGACCUCAUCAUCAUUCUUACAUUUAUCUCUCACUUUUUCAAUAUGCUGCUUCCAGGUGAGUUUUUCAUCAAAUAAAACACCCAAAAAUUGUACUACUUUGGCUUGUUCUAAAGUUUGAUCAUAUAGUUUUAUUGACACCUCUUUGUGUUGCUUAGCAAAGCAUAUUACUUGAGUUUUCGCAACUGACAGUUUGAACUCCCACCUAUUUGCCCACUGCUCCACUUUAUCAACCGCUGCCUGCAGCUUUUUCUGCAGAUACUCUUGAUUUCUGCCUCUUACCCAUAAGGCCCCAUCGUCAGCAAAUAAUGACUUACUUAUUCCUCCUCAAAUAUAUCAUUGAUCAUACAAUUAAAGAACACUGGACUACACACACUCCCUGGUGGGGUUCCGUUUUCAACCUCAUAUACUGGAGAGAAUUCCUGCCCUACUCUCACCUCUAUUGUUCUUCUAAAUAAAAAGCUCAGUACCCAGUUAUCUAAUUUCCCUCCUACUCCCAACUUAUCUAAUUUGAUCAGUAACUCUUCUUUCCAUAACAUAUCAUAUGCCUUCUCUACGUCGAAGAACACAGCCAUCACUAUUUCUUUAUUUGUCUGUGCUUUUCUAAUAUCUGACUUCAAACUGAGCACUGAAUCCAUGGUGUUCCUUCCUUUGCGAAACCCACUUUGAUAUGAAGAAAAAAGGUCACAACUCUCUAAAAAAAACAUCAGCCUUUCUGUCACCAUCUUUCCCUAGUUGGGAUGUAAGGGCAAUUGGCCUAUAAUUUGAUAAUUUGUUUCAAAAUUGGCACUAUAACUGAGUGAUUCCAUGCCUGUGGAACCUCCCCUGACUCCCAUACUUUGUUAAAUAACUUCAAUAUUACCCCCAGCGACCUGUCAUCCAUGUGAUCUAACAUACAGUAGCACACAUCAUCUUUCCCUGGUGAAGACUGCCGAGCUUUGGAUACUGCUCUUCUUAAUUCCUACAAAUUAAAGGGCAGAUCUUGAUCAUCCCCUCUUGCCUGCUUUUUCUUUCUAAUCCAAGUGUUUUGUGUCAGCACAUUCUGCCUAUGCUGCUUUGCUUCUGUUGAGAUAUUCUCUGAACUAUGAACUUGAAUCAACGUUUCUGCCAGUAGCGUCGCCUUCUCUAAAUUACUAACUGCUGUUCUAUCGUCCUUCCUCAGAAUUGGGAUUGUUAUAUUUCUUUUUAUUCCACUAAUUUUUCUAAUCAUUCCCCAAACAUCUGACAGCUGUACCUCCUGCCCUAUUCCACUACAGUACUUCCUCCAGCACGCCCGCUUAGCUGCUCUGAUCGUCCUUUUCACUACUGCCUGUGACCUUCUGUAUUGGAUUAAUGUCUCUAUUGUAUGCUGCUUCAUUAACUAUCUGAAUGCCCUGUUACGUGCUUUAAUAGCCUGUCUGCAGUUAUUAUCCCACCAUGGUACACUUUUUUCACUUCUGCCCCCGGACACUUUUGGAACUGUCCCAUCAGCAGACUGUAUUAUAGCUGCUACCACUCUCUCAUUCCAUUCCUCCACACCUGUCCAUUGCUCCUCAUGUAACUCCUCAAACAUAUUUCUACUCACUGCCUGAUAAGCAUCCCACUUAACAUUCAGAUUUUUCCACCUUGGCACCCUCCUUUCCUCCUCUUGCUGCAUUUCUACUCUCACCUUACUAAUCACUGGAUAGUGAUCACUCCCCAUUAAUAUUUCAUCUAGCACUUCCCAAUCUGUGAUACCUGCCAUCUCAUUGGACAUUAAAGGUGAGUCAAUGCACUCUCCUUAUUUCGUACACAAUCAUACCUAGUGCCCCUCCCAUCAUUCAUACACACUAACCGUUUAUCCUCUAUAAAUUCUUCCACUAUUGAACCAUUUGAGUCUGUUCUCUCACUCCCCCAUAAAGUGCUAUGUGCAUUGAAAUCCCCACACCACACUAUUUUCCCUUGCACUUCCCCCAGUACCUUAUUCAGCGUAUCCAUACUCAAUCUCUUGCAUGGGUUAUAGUAAUUAAUAACUGCUAGCUCAUAUCUUCCUGUCCAAAUUUUUACCGUUAUGGACUCAUGAUCCGUCCCCAUUUGACCUAUAUUAAACCCUAUCCCAUCCUUUACAAAGGUAGCUACCCCACCACCUGGCCCAUUUUUCCUGUCAUUUCUUACACCCAUGUACUCAUGUAUUACAAAAUCCCACUGCACCCUCAUCCAUGUUUCUUGAACACAUAUAAUAGUGGUCUUGUCCUGUAGCCCAGAAAUAAACUUCUUAAAUUCCUGCCCAUUGGUUAUGAGACUUCUUGCAUUCCAUUGCAGUAUACUUAGGACCAUGAUGAUCCUCCAUUCCAUACUGAUGACUGCUGUGAUGGAUUCUGUGAACUGGACCCCCUCCUUUCAGCAGGUCCUCCACUUCCUCCCACCCGACUGCCUCCAGUCCCAUAUACUCUUCUGCUGCUCUCACUAUUAUUUUGAUUUCUUCAGUUUUUUUGUCUGUUUGCCCUGUACAGUUACCCACCUCAACCAUGAACAGUAUGAAGUCUCUCUUCCCUACAACCAUUGUAUCUUCCUUAAUUCUUUUGCAUCCUUCAUGUGUUCUGACUUCUUGCCUUUCAGUUGUCCUGGAAUUACUUUCAGUUGCCUGCACCCUCACCCUCCUGUCUGCCUUGGCGUGUGUGAUCGAAUGUGAUGUUUUCAUUUGCUGCACUUCUGCUGCUCUCUUACAAACUUCACAUCCCCCGUAUGCAGAGGUAUGCUCCCCUCCACAGUUGCAGCAUUUAAUUUUAGCUCCAAUUUCACAUUUCCCAUAUUCAUGUUCCCCAGCACAUUUCCCACAUCUUUGUUUCCCCUUACACACUGCUGCAACAUGCCGAUACUUCUGGCAUUUGAAGCACCUUAAUGGCGGAGGCACAUAGAGCCUCACACCGUAGCUCAUAUAUCCUAUAUGCACUCUUUCAGGGAGUCUCUCUUCAUCCUCACUAUCUACCCUCUCUGUCUCCAUUAUCUACUUCAUAAUCUUCUGAACAAACAAUUUUGGUCAUAAACCUAAUACAAUUUCCUGUUAAUGUUAUUUAAGUUUAAGAGAGGUCUAAUGUGACAUCAAAAGACCAGGACUCAAUACAAGUAUCUCCAGAAUUCUAAUAAGUGAGAUAACACACCUCGCCACACUGCAUUGCAUAAUUGUAGAGCACAGGACAGGAUAGAGAAGGUUAAGUGCUGCCCCAGCAGAGGGUUAUUUCAGACCCAAUAAGUCCAGAUCAUACAAAAAAAAUUAAAAGAGACAAGGGAUAAGAAUAAGAAUAACUUUAUUGAUCCCCAAAGGGAAAUAAUAGCUAGAGAGCUAGCAUAGCUAGAGACCAGUUGUGUCUCUAGCUAUGUGUUCAUUUUUGCAGAGAGGCUUACAGAAUUUAAAGACUGAGACAACCCCCCCUACACACACAAACACACACACACGCACACACACACCUGAAGAGCCAUGUAACAUUCUUAGACUAGUCUAGUGUCAAUAUAUUCCAAUAUACGCAGAACAAAAAUAUCUCUCUCUAGUAUUAAGCAACAUUUGUAGGUUUGAAAUCUGUUACGUUUAACUCUUUCACCACACAGUAAACAACUCAAAAUCUUCUCCCCAGCAUAAACUAGAAAAUGUGAAACCUGACUUCAUUUACCAAAGAGUUAGUUUUAAAAAGUUUAUCACAUCCAGGGCAGCUAUAGGGUCUUUCUCCAGUGUGAACUCUCAUGUGCUUAUGCAGUGUUUGUUCAGUUUUAAAUGUUUUGCCACAUUCAGUGCAGCUGAAGGGUCUCUCAUCUGAGUGAACUCUCAUGUGGGGUGCCACUUCUUGUUUAGUUUUGAAUGUUUUCCCACAUUCUGAGCAGCUGAAGGGUUUCUCAUCUGUGUGAACUCUCAUGUGGCUUGCCACUUCUUGUUUAGUUUUGAAUGUUUUCCCACAUUCUGAGCAGCUGAAGGGUUUCUCCUCUGAGUGAACUCUGAUGUGGCUUGCCACUUCUUGUUUAGUUUUGAAUGUUUUCCCGCAUUCUGGGCAGCAGAAGGGUUUCUCCUCUGAGUGAACUCUCAUGUGGCUUGCCAGGUUAUCUUUAGUUUUGAAUGUUUUGCCACAUUCUGAGCAGCUGAAGGGUUUCUCCUCUGAAUGAACUGCCAUGUGUUGUCUCAGUUCUUUUUUAGUUUUGAAUGUUUUCCCACAUUCUGAGCAGCUGAAGGGUUUCUCAUCUGUGUGAACUCUCAUGUGGCUUGCCACUUCUUGUUUAGUUUUGAAUGUUUUCCCGCAUUCUGGGCAGCAGAAGGGUUUCUCCUCUGAGUGAACUCUGAUGUGGCUUGCCACUUCUUGUUUAGUUUUGAAUGUUUUGCCACAUUCUGAGCAGCUUAAGGGUUUCUCAUCUGAAUGAACUGCCAUGUGUUGUCCUAGUAUAUUUUUAGUUUUGAAUGUUGUGCCACACUCUGGGCAGCUGAAGGGUCUCUCCUCUGAGUGAAAUUUCAGGUGUUUUGCUAGUUCUUGACGUGUUUUGAAUAUUCGACAACACUUUGAGCAAACACGUGAUUUCUCAAGCCUCUUCAGCAUCUUCUUUCUCACUUUUUUCACAGAAAAAAGACUUGACUUUUGUGGCCUUGUUUCCUCCCAAUUCUCAUCACUGCCCUCAGUCUCAGGUUCAGGGGAGUCUUGAGUCUUUCGUUGUAUAUCUAUCUCUGAAUCUGAGUUACCGGCUGGAUCUUGUCCUCCAUAAUUCUGUUCCUUGCAAAUGUUCGGGGGCUCAGUGUAUCCCUGGUCCAGAGUGGGACUCCUCCCCUGCUGCUCAGAGAGAAACUCUUCUUUUUUCACCAACACCUUCUGGAUAUUUGCAAGGCACAGAAAAACAACAACUAAACAGAAGGUAAUGAAAACACCAGUAGAUGUAAAAGCAGAAUUUAAAACUCAAUGAUAUUCUUAAGAAAGAUAAGAGUUAGUGUGGGGAUGAUGAACUAAUGUUACCCCCUCUAGUGUUGGACUUAAUUAGCUCACCAGCUAUGUAUGUGCUGUCUCGGAGCAGCAGACUAUUUGUCAACAGUCCUGACAAGAACUGAACAAUGUCAGCAGCAUGGAUUUAGUUGAAGAGGCACCACUAAAUCUGUUGUUAUUCUCAUAUCAGUUUCAGCAUUUGAUAUGAUGCUCAUUGAUGUGCUCCUGAAACUUCUCGGGCAAAACUGUAUGGAUGCAGCCUGGUGCAAAAAGCUGCUGCACCAUAGUUCCAGGUAACCAAUCACAGUGUUGAUAAAACACUUAACCCAGGUAACCAAGAGCAGCAUUGUGAGAGUUCACACUAAGAGCUCAGAAUUCAGCUCACAUUUAGUUCACAUGGAUCCAAAUCAACUAGGUUGCACUGAUAGUUUGUGUGUCUGUCAGCAGAGCCUCCCGAACUUCAAUUGCUAAUCUCCUCACUGACAUUUAUUGAAGUUAUUAAUUAUUCAAUUGUACAUCACAAUUGGAGACAGACAUGUACUUUGAAAAAACAAGGAAAUUUCAGUGUUUUAAACAGUUUCUUUUUCGCCCCAAUACCCUGCUAUAGUGGGUGAGAUGUUUAUCAAGCCCUCUAAAAUAAAGGGGCUAAGGGUAUAGAAACACUGAAGAGACAAACAUGAAAGUUGACUAUUCUAUCUGAAAAAGUUUUACCCCUCUGAAUCAGACAGGAUUUUAGCCUGCUGGGCAGCACAAAAACUAAAAAUGCAGACUGACAGUACAUAAAUUUACAUUUUCAAGUAGGCCGCAGAGAUAAAUCUGGAACAUGUGCUUUUCUUGUGCCUUUUCAGAAUCAUCAUCAAACAUAUGUGUGACUCUUAAACUACAAGUACUUGAUGUUUUUCCCAUUUUGCUCACUGAUAAAGUACAAAAAAUACCGCACGAGUUUUUACACAAAACUUGAGCCUGUGGAGAAGCCAAAGAUUUUCGCACAGACCUGCAGGGUAAUUUCCCGACCAGCAGGUGACACUGUGGCUCAGUCUACCAGUACUAAGAAAUAAAGCGUGACCCACAGAGUGAGCAAGAGCUGAAAAGCGACACCGUCACGCUGUUAAUAGGAUAAAACAGGAUAGGAUAACUGUUGUAUUGUUGCGGUUGUGCAGAACUUCAUGUAUUCAUAAGAAAAAAAAGCUUUUCCUCGUAAAUAAAUACUUUUUUUGCCCUUAAGUCAUUUCAGGUUUAAUCAUAUUAUUUUGCCAUUUCAUUAAUAUGGUUUAUUGCAGCCUGUGUGUGGCGCUUGCUUCAGUAAAGGCAUUGAAACAUGUAUCCAGAAGUGUAAGGAAAACUGACCUGCUCUGUGCAGCUUGAUUUCGGGUGUUAAAAUCACAGCCAGCAGUUUUUUCUGGCGGCGGAGCUCCUCUUCGUAUCCAGACUCUGUUCUAUUUUCGACCAGGUCCGUGAUUACCGCAGCCAGCAGCCGCCGAUUAAAUAAAUCAUCAAGAUCCUGAAACCCGGACAUUUUCCACAAACGUAAGAGCGAAAGCAGACGUUUGUGGUUACCGCGGUACCACGUGGACGACCUCUUCCGCUUCUUUUGUCUUUAUGAGCGUUUUCUGGUGUGGAAACUGUUGAAGUUACUCCAAACUUCCCGGAGUCCGUUCAUGGAGACUGUAACAGAGGAUUCAAUGAGGCAAAAAGGUGUCUUCAACAAACCUUUUAUUUCGGCACAGCAAAUAACACAAGAUAUCUUGGAGAGCACAUCAACCCAAUGGUAUCUCUGAGGUGGUCUGAUUACUAUUUUUCAGUAGUUAAUAUUUAUACACUUGAGGCGUCUCAUCAUCUUUAUGGGCGGAGAGUUUACAUAACUAGCAGCCCCUAGUGUUUCUCUAUGGACAAACAAGCACGUAUUGUUCUACUGUUUUUUUUCCUGACUGAAACCGUGGUGUCAGGGAAGUUGACCUUGGAUGCAUCCAGUGCUUGUCUCCUUUUUAUCAUAUUUGCGUCAUGUAUUCCAAUCUUUCACAGAGUUCCCACUAGGCAGACUGCUGGGCAUGCAAACCCUCCCUGUACACCCCCACAUCUUCUCAGGACAGAGUGAUCUUCCUCCCUGGUCCUGUUGUUCACAUCUCUGACUGGCACCUGCACAUCUGUUAUGAAAGGCACAUCAUUAUCCAAGGCAUAUGUCAGGGCCAUAGAGCACUUUUAUAAGGAACACUUUUAAUGAAUGACUGUGAUGAUUAUAAAGCAUAGUUUUUAAUAAAUUACUUAUGAUUAUAAUACACACUUCAAAUUAAUGACUGUUAAGGCAGAACAGUUUAAAACCAUACUUACCAACCCUUGGCACUUCUAGGCAUAAGCUAAAAUCCUUCUAUACUGAAAGUCUCUGUUCUAUACAUUGUGACACAGUGAUCAAUUGCCCCUGUGUUAGCAUUAAACCUUCUUAUCUGACUCAUCAGUACAUGUCCGCAAUGAGCACACAAAAUAAUGUAAACACAAUAAGAAAACAGUUAAUUACCUGAAAAAUGAUAAAAUGAUUGUCAUCAAUGAUUAAAUGAUUAGCAUGAACCUGUGAGUUCCCACAAAUUAGAGCUGAAUCCGGUAUGGAGCGAAAAUUUAAACCUUGGUAUCGGAUCACCAAGUUUGAAAAAGUCACGGUUUAUUUGGCUCCAAUCUUUUGAUUGCAGAGUCUGGAGAGGUCUAAUGUGACAUCAAAAAGCCAGGACUCAAUACAAGUAUCUUCAGAAUUGUAAUGAGUAAAACAAAAGAAAAAAACACACACACCUUGCUACACUGCAUUGCAUAAUUGUAGAGCACAGGACAGGAUAGAGAAGGUUAAGUGCUGCCCCAGCAGAGGGUUAUUUCAGACCCAUUAUCUAGAUCAUACAAAAAAAAUUACAAAAGAUACAAGGGAUAAGAAUAAGAAUAACUUUAUUGAUCCCUGAAGGGAAAUCAUAGCUAGAGAGCUAGCAUAGCUAGAGACACAACGGGUCUCUAGCUAUGUGUUCAUUUUUGCAGAGAGGCUUCCAGAAUUUAAAGACUGAGACAACCCCUCCUACACACACACACACACCUCUGAAGAGCCACGUGACAUUCUUGGACUAGUCUAGUGUCAGUAUAUUCUAUUAUACACAGAACAAAAAUGUCUCUCUCUAUUAUAGAAACAACAUUUGUAGAUUUGGAAAAUGUAACGUUUUCCUCCUUCACCACACAGUAAACAACUCAAAAUCUACUCCCCAGCAUAAACUAGAAAAUGUGAAAUCUGACUUCAUUUUCCAAAGAGUACUUCCCUUCAAACACAGCAGCCAGUGGGUUUCUUCAUCAUUUGAGAUUAAUGUGUGUAUUGAGUUCUUGUUUGGUUUUAUACAGUUUAUCACAUCCAGGGCAGCUAUAGGGUCUUUCUCCAGUGUGAACUCUCAUGUGUGUUAUCAAUUCAGGUUUUCUUUGGAAAAGCAGCUAAAGGGUCUCUCCUCUGUGUGAACUCUCAUGUGUCUUGCCAGGUCGUAUAUAGUUUUGAAAUUUUUGCCACAUUCAGUGCAGCUGAAGGGUCUCUCCUCUGAGUGAAUCGUCUUGUGGUUCACCAGAUGGGCUUUAGUUUUAAAUGUAUUGCCACAUUCUGAGCAGCUGAAGGGUCUCUCCUCUGAAUGAAAUUUUGUGUGUUGUGCCAGGUCUUAUUUAGUUUUGAAUGUUUUGCCACAUUCUGAGCAGCUGAAGGGUCUCUCCUCUGAAUGAACUAUCAUGUGUUGUCCCAGUUCUUUUUUAGUUUUGAAAUUUUUGCCACAUACAGUGCAGCUGAAGGGUCUCUCCUCAGAAUGAACUAUCAUGUGUUGUCCCAGUUCUCUUUUAGUUUUGAAAUUUUUGGCACAUUCAGUGCAGCUGAAGGGUCUCUCCUCUGAGUGAACCGUCUUGUGGUUCACCAGAAUGGCUUUUGUUUUAAAUGCACUGCCACAUUCUGAGCAGCUGAAGGGUCUCUCCUCUGAAUGAACUCUCAUGUGGUGCGCCAGGUCGUAUUUAGUUUUGAAUGUUUUGCCACAUUCUGAGCAGCUGAAGGGUCUCUCCUCUGAAUGAACUGCCAUGUGUUGUCCCAGUUCUUUUUUAGUUUUGAAAUUUUUGCCACAUUCAGUGCAGCUGAAGGGUCUCUCCUCUGAGUGAAUCGUCUUGUGGUUCACCAGAUGGGCUUUAGUUUUGAAUGUUUUGCCACAUUCUGAGCAGCUGAAGGGUCUCUCCUCUGAAUGAAAUUUUGUGUGUUGUGCCAGGUCGUAUUUAGUUUUGAAUGUUUUGCCACAUUCUGAGCAGCUGAAGGGUCUCUCCUCUGAAUGAACUAUCAUGUGUUGUCGCAGUUCUUUUUUAGUUUUGAAAUUUUUGCCACAUUCAGUGCAGCUGAAGGGUCUCUCCUCUGAGUGAACCGUCUUGUGGUGCACCAGAAUGGCUUUUGUUUUAAAUGCAUUGCAACAUUCUGAGCAGCUGAAGGGUUUCUCAUCUGUGUGAACUCUCAUGUGGCUUGCCACUUCUUGUUUAGUUUUGAAUGUUUUCCCACAUUCUGAGCAGCUGAAGGGUUUCUCCUCUGAGUGAACUCUCAUGUGGCUUGCCACUUCUUGUUUAGUUUUGAAUGUUUUCCCGCAUUCUGAGCAGCUGAAGGGUUUCUCCUCUGAGUGAACUCUGAUGUGGCUUGCCACUUCUUGUUUAGUUUUGAAUGUUUUCCCGCAUUCUGGGCAGCUGAAGGGUUUCUCCUCUGAGUGAACUCUCAUGUGGCUUGCCAGGUUAUCUUUAGUUUUGAAUGUUUUGCCACAUUCUGAGCAGCUGAAGGGUCUCUCCUCUGAAUGAACUGCCAUGUGUUGUCUCAGUUCUUUUUUAGUUUUGAAUGUUUUCCCACAUUCUGAGCAGCUGAAGGGUCUCUCCUCUGAGUGAACUCUCAUGUGGCUUGCCAGUUCUCCUUUAGUUUUGAAUGUUUUGCCACAUCCGGAGCAGCUGAAGGGUCUAUCUUCUGAGUGAACUGCCAUGUGUUGUGCCAGUUCUCUUUUAGAUUUGAAAAUUUUGCCACACUCUGGGCAAUUGAAGGGUCUCUCCUCUGAAUGAACGCUCAUGUGCAUUGUCACUUCGUAUUUAGUUUUGAAUGUUUUGCCACACUGCCUGCAGCUGAAGGGUUUCUCAUCUGAGUGAACUCUCAUGUGACUGGUCCUCAGCUUUUUUGUUUUAAACAAUUUACCACACUCUGGGCAGCUGAAGAGUUUCUCAUCUGAAUGAACUGCCAUGUGGUUUGCUAGUGUUUUUUUAGUUUUGAAUGUUUUGCAACAUUCUGAGCAGCUGAAGGGUCUCUCCUCUGAGUGAACUCUCAUAUGUUUUGUCAGUUUUCCUUUAGUUUUGAAUGUUUUGCCACACUCAGGGCAGCUGAAGGGUUUCUCCUCUGAGUGAACUAUCAUGUGUUUUACCAGUUCUCCUUUAGUUUUGAAUGUUUUGCCACAGUCUGGGCAGCUGAAGGGUCUCUCAUCUGAGUGAACUCUCAUGUGGCUUGCCAGGUCGUAUUUAGUUUUGAAUGUUUUGGCACAUUCUGGGCAGCUGAAGGGUCUCUCCUCUGAGUGAACUUUCAGGUGUUUUUCUAGUUCUUGUUGUGUUUUGAAUACUUGACAACAUUUUGAGCAAACAUGUGAUUUCUCAAGCCUCUUUAGCAUCUUCUUUCUCACUUUUUUCACAGACAUUAGACUUGACUUUUGUGGCCUUGUAUCCUCCCAAUUCUCAUCUCUGCCCUCGGUCUCAGGUUCAGGGGAGUCUUGAGUCUUUCGUUGUAUAUUUAUCCCUGAGUAGUUACUGGCUGGAUCUUGUCCUCCAUAAUUCUGUUCCUUGCAAAUGUUCGGGGGCUCAGUGUUUCCCUGGUCCAGAGUGGGACUCCUCUCCUGCUGCUCAGAGAGAAACUCUUUUUUCACCAACACCUGCUGGAUAUCUGCAAGGCACAGAAAAACAAUAACUAAACAGAAGUUGAUGAAAACAUCAGGAGAUAUGAAAGCAGAUUUAAACACUCAAUGAUAGUCUCAAAAAGAUAAGAGUUAGUCUGGGGAUUAUGGACUAAUGUUGCCCCCUCUAGUGUUGGACUUAAUUAGCUCACCAGCUAUUAAAAGCAGACUAUUUCUCAAUAGUUCUGACAAGAACUGAACAAUGUCAGCAGCAUGGAUUUAGUUGAAGAGGCACCACUAAAUCUGUUGUUAUUCUCAUAUCAGUUUCAGCAUUUGAUAUGAUGCUCAUUGUUGUGCUCCUGAAACUUCUGGGGCAAAACUGUAUGGAUGCAGCCUGGUGCAAAGAGCUGCUGCACAAUAGUUCCAGGCAACCAAUCACAGUGUUGAUAAAACACUUAACCCAGGUAACCAAGAGCAGCAUUGUGAGAGUUCAUACUAAGAGCUAAGAGUUCAGUUCACAUUUAGUUCACAUGGAUCCAAAUCAAAUAGGUUGCAGUGAUAGUUUGUGUGUCUGUCAGCAGAGCCUCCCAAACUUCAAUUUCUUAUCCCCUCACUGACAUUUAUUGAACUAAAUUAUCAUUAAAUUGUAUAUCACAAUUGGAGACAGACAUGUACUUUGAAAAAACAAGGAAAUUUCAGUGUUUUUUUUCUUCCCGCCCCAAUACCCUGCUAUAGUGGGUGAGAUGUUUAUCAAGCCCUCUAAAAUAAAGGGGCUAAGGGUAUAGAAACAUUGAAGAGACAAAUAUGAAAGUUAACUAUUCUAUCUGAAAAAGUUUUACCCCUCUGAAUCAGACAGGAUUUAAGCCUGCUGGGCCGCACAAAAACUAAAAAUGCAGACUGACAGUACAAAGUCAAAGAUUUACAUCUUCAAGUAGGCCGCAGAGAUACACCUGGAACAUGUGCUUCCUUGUGCCUUUUCAGAAUCAUCAUCAAACCAAUGUGUGACUCUUAAACUACAAAUACUUGACACAGUCCAGCAGUUAAUAGGAUAAAACAGUAUAGGAUAGCUGUUCUAUUUGUUGUCGCGGUUGUGCAGUACUUCAUAUAUUCGUAAUAAAAAACUUUUCCUUGAAAAUAAAUAGUUUUUUGCCCUUUAGUCAUUUCAGGUUUAAUCAUAUUAUUUUGCCAGGCAUUGAAACAUGUAUCCAGAAGUGUAAGGAAAACUGACCUGCUCUGUGCAGCUUGAUUUCGGGUGUUAAAAUCACAGCCAGCAGUUUUUUCUGGCGGCGGAGCUCCUCUUCGUAUCCAGACUCUGUUCUAUUUUCGACCAGAUCCGUGAUGACCGCAGCCAGCAGCCGCCGAUUCAAUAAAUCAUCGAGAUCCUGAAACCCGGACAUUUUCCACAAACGCAAGAGCGAAAGCAGCGAAAACAGAACUUUGUGGUUACCGCGGUACCACGUGGACGACUUCUUCCUCUUCUUUUUACUUUGUAAGCGUUUUCUGGUGCGGAAACUGAGCUGAAUCGGUUUGGAGCGAAAAUUUGAACCUCGGUUUCGGAUCACCAGGUUUGAAAAAGUCAAGGCUUAUUUGGCUCCGAUCCUUUGUUUGCAGAAUCUGGAUUUGGUCGAUUAUGGGAGGUCGAGCAGAAAUGUGUACUUCUUUAUCUCCUUCUUGGUUAACGGCGGAUGGCAACUAGUAGUACUGAUUUCGGUCGAC